UUUUUUUUUUUUUUUUUUUUUGAGAGGGAGUCUCCAUCUGUCAUCCAGACUAGAAAGCUGGAGUACAGUGGUGCAAUCUUGGCUCACUGCAACUUUCACCUCCCAGGUUCAAGUGAUUCUCCUGCCUCACCCUCCCAAGUAGCUGUGACUGUAGGCACAUGCCACCAUGCCCAGCUUAUUUUUUAUAUUUUUAGUAGAGACGACAGGCUUUCACCGUAUUGACCAGGCUGAUCUCGAACUCCUGACCUUGUGAUCUGCGUGCCUUGGCCUCCCAAUGUGCUGGGAUUACAGGCUUGAGCCACGCUGCUCAGCGUCUCAUGGAUAGAUCUUAUUUGGCUGACAACGAAAGAUGUGGUGCUAGUAGCAUCAUCCCUUUGCAUGCAAAAGAUAAACCGGAAUCUAAGGCAGCCAUGUCCUUCCUGCCUGGUGUUUCAGGCAGAUACUCUGAUCUGAUAAUUGUCAUGAUAGGAAUAGUAAAAAUAAUAAUAAAUCAUAGUUCUUUGAUGAUCACUUUACUGGAUGCUGGGCACUGCACCAAGUGGUUUACAUGGUUUAUCUUGUAGCGUCCCAUUUAAGCCUGCUAAGAGUAGGUGCUGUCAUUCUCUCCAUUUUACAGAUGAGAAAACUGAGGCUUAGGGAAAUUGAGUCAUUGUUGCCAAUCCCAAGAUUUUGACUCUCUGCCGUCUGUUCUGCGUACACUUUUUACUUGCCACUGCUGAUUAACUUUAAUUUCUCUUUUCAUUUCCCUGAUCAGAACUGUUCUGUGUUCUUAGAUUCAACAAGAUGUUAUACUCUGCCUUGUUAGUCUCUAGCCUGUUUUCAGAAAUUGUAAAUGGGGCGGGGGUAGAGUAGUAAAUGGCAGUCAGAUGGUUUUUUCUUCUUCUUCUUCUUCUCCUUCUCCUUGUUCUUCUUUUCCUUCUCCUCCCACUCUUCCUCCUUCCUCUUUCUCUCUCUCUCUCUCCCUUUCUCUCUCUCUCCCUUUCCUUCCUUCCUUCCUUCCUUCCUUCCUUCCUUCCUUCCUUCCUUCCUUCCUUCCUUCCUUCCUUCCUUCCUUCCUUCUUCUUUUGCUGUCUUUCUUUCUUCUGUUGCUGUUAAGCCUCUGCUUCUGGGCAAGGCUCUGUGCUGUGCUGUUAACAGCUUCUCUGCCACACCUGGAAAAGUGCCAGUGUCAUUUUCAUGGCACAGAUAUGGCGUCGGAAGCUCAUAGUUGAAGUCACCAGAUAGUGACUUGAGGAACCGGAAGGUUCCCUUGGACCUAUCCUCUGACCAGCCUCAACUGCACCAAAAAGAUCUCAUUCUGAUAAUCAGGGAUGAACCUCCAUUGGUUGAUCUAGCAAACUAUAUGCAUUAAAAAAAAUAACAUCCUGCUGGGCGUGGUGGCUCAUGCCUGUAAUCCCAGCACUUUGGGAGGCUGAGGAGUGUGGACCCCUUGAUGCCAGGAGUUGGAGACCAGCCUGGCCAACAUGGUGAAACCCAGUCUCUACUAAAAAUACAAAAAUUAGCUGAGUGUGGUGGCAGGCACCUGUGGUCCCAGCUACUCAGGAGACUGAGACAGGAGAAUUGCUUGAACCCGGGAGGAGGAGGUUGCAGUGAGCCAAGAAUGCACCACUGUACUUCAACCUGGGUGACAAAAUGAGACCCUCUCAAAAUAAAUAAAUAAAUAAAUAAAUAUAAACUAAAAAAAUUAUAACCUGUAAUGAACUUGAAAGACAACACUUUGUUUCUCAUCUAGUUGGAACAAGUGGGGCUGGGGUGGGGACCGACAAGUGACGGAUCACUGUCCGUUUGAUUCAGUGUCAAUGGGCUCUCUCAAAAAUGAGAACCUAGCUGGCACAGUGCCUCACACCUGGAAUCCCAGCACUUCAGGAGGCUGAGGUGGGAGCAUUGCUUGAGGCUAGGAGUUCACGAUCAGCCUGGGCAACAUAAUGAAACCCUGUCUCUACAAAACAUAAGAAACUUUCAUGGGUGUGGUGGCACACACCUAGUCCCAGCUACUCAGGAGGCUGAGGCAGGAGGAUCACUUGAGCCCAGGAGGUUGAGGCUGCAGUGGGCUCUGAUCACACCACUGGGUGACAGAUCGAGACCCUGUCAAAUAACAAGUUUGAUAUAAAUAAUAAUAAAUAAUAAAUACACCCGGAAAUUUGAAGACACAAAUUCAGAUGCAUGUGGAUGGGCCCGAAAUAUUUUCUUUCCAUGUACUCCAAUGUUACCACUCCUGGGGUACCCUUCCUUAUUUUCUCUGCUGCACCAUCGCCUUCAUGGUCCACAUCCUGUCCUCUUAACCCUGGCCUCUCUAGCACUGGUAAUGCUUUAGUGUGGCAGAUGUUACCGUCCAUGGACACUCCUUUAUUCCGCAAGUAUUUGUGGAGUCCUCGUGCCAAACACGGUGCUGCACGAUGCUCUGAGGGUGGGCAAGACAGACGUGUCUGCUGUCAAAUCCCAGAGGCCGUGGUGACAACUUUCACCAGUCUGUUGUAAAAAUUAGAAAAAUGCAAAACAGUGAGUUUUUCAUGAACUACGUUGUAUCUGCUUUAAACUGUUUUAGGAUUCUGUUCUUUAUCUGUUUUUUUUUUUUUCAAUGUUAAAUACCAUGUCCUUUAAUACAGAUUAAAAAUGGUUUCUCCCUCCCUCCCUCCCUCUCUCCCCACCUCUCUCUCUCUCUCUCUCUUCUCCUCCCUCCCUCCCCACCUCCCUCCUUCCCUCUCUUCCUCCCUUCCUUCCUCCUUUCCUUUUCUUACUUCAUGCCUCCCUCCCUCCCUCCCCACCUCCCUCCCUCCCUCUCUUCCUCCCUUCCUUCCGCCUUUCCUUUUCUUACUUCAUGCCUCCCUCCCUCUAUCCCUCCCUCCCUCUUCUCUCUCUUCUUCCCUUCCUUCCCCCUUUCCUUUUUUUACUUCAUCCCUCCCUCCCUCCCUCUCUCCCUCCCUCCCUUCCUCCUUUCCUUUUCUUACUUCAUGCCUCCCUCCCUCCAUCCCUCCCUCCUCUCUCUCUCCUUCCCUUCCUUCUUCCUUUUUUUCUUCCUUCCUCCCUCUCUCCCUCCCUCCCUCUCUUCCUUCCUCCCUCCCUUUCUCCCUGCCUCCCUCCCUCUCUUCCCCCUCCCUCCUUUCCUCCCUCCCUUCUUCCCUCUUUCCCUCCCUCCCUCCCUCCCUCAUUGCCUCCCUUCUUCCCCCACCGCCAGCCGUUUUGCAUGUUCACUGAUUUUCUUUUCUUUUUAAAGCCCGUAAUUGGCAACCUUAAGAGUUAUUAAGCCUGUGUUAGCCUGGCCAUUUUUAUUUUUAAAAAUUUUACCAGACUUUGAACUCUCAAAGCCAAGGAAUGCCCGAUGUAUCUGUAUCUUGUGAGCAUGUAUCUGUAUCCUGUGAGCUUGCCCCUUCAUGAUAUUUGAUACUUCAUUGUUUCCCCGUUAUUUUUAAUUGUUGCCCUUGUCUCUCCAGCCUCCUGCCUCCUCUUCCUCUGUCUCCCUCAAGGUGUGUCUUUCUCAGGCAUGUCUUACACAAUCAAUACUUAGUGAUUGGACUUCUUAACUCACCCCCGCCCCCCGCCGCCAAAAAAAACAAACAAAAAAACCCAGGUGCCAAACUCGAAGACAGAGCUCACUUCAAGGAAGGGAACGCUUGCUUUUCUGCUCUCCGUGAAAGAGAGGCCAGACCACUCCAGCAUUUUUUUUUUUUUUUUUUUUUUGCUUCUUCCCCUUGGGCCUUGUGAAAAGGGUAGUCGGUUUUCUAUUACCAUCGUAUUAACUGAAGAAUGGAAAAUAUGCCCAGAGUUUUAAAAAGUCACCCAAUGCCUGCCCUUUCUAGAGCAUCCUAAUUAACAACCAAAAUUUUAAAAUUCCAUUAUUUAGAAGCUCAGCGUUAUCCCGGAUUCCAGCUUUGCCUCUUGUGCUUGGAGGCACCGUUCUUUGCUUUGCAGCGUUCCUGAGUGUUUACAGAUGAUGCGCGUAGCGGGCUGUCUUUGCUCUUCAUGGGAAGGAUAGGAAGAAGCUCUGAUGAAGCAGUGCCGGGGCAGGGCAGUGAGUGGUUAAACCGAAUCUUCCUCCUGGUGAAGUGGAGCGUGUGUGUUGUUCUUUUCCUCCAGCACCCAGAUUUGGCCCUAUAACUAAUAUGCAAGUUCAGAUGCCUCCUGAGUGGAGAAAGCAGCUGAAACAUGCACAUUUCUAAUAGACUCAGCAUCUGAAUUGAAUGGGCAGCUUUGCCUGGAGUAGUACUGCAGCUUUUCAAAUGCCUUUUGUCAAAAUAUAUACUAGUUAGGAGAAGUGUUCUGCCGAGGGAUGUCCGCGUUACCCUUAACAUUUAUGGCUAUCAAACUACCAGUCCACAGGCAAUCAUAGUUGCUUUUAACACAGUCAACAUUUACCACUGGGCUGUUAUUAAAACGUAAUGCAGUUAGCAUAAAAACACAUCAUUCUGUUCAACAAAAAACUGGCUUUCUUUGUAGUCUCUUUUAAUUUGGUGCCAUCAUUUAGAAAGUUUAGUACAUUUAAAAUUUCGCAUGGUGUAUACAUUGUUUCUCUUUUACUUUCAUAUGAAGGAUGCUAUUUACCAUUAAUGUAAACGUACAAAUGAAAUGGUUACUCUGGAUUUAUUCUUUAGGAAAAUUAGAAUGUGGAGCUACGUGUUUUUCAUAAGUUGGUUACCAAGAGAAGAAAGAAAGAAAGAAAAAAAAAAGGAUGCUUGAUGCCCUGCUCCUGCUAUGUCAGGGAAUUUCCUGUACCCUUCAUAUGAGCCCCUCUGAACAAAAGCAAAUCCUGUUGACCUGUCAGCUUAAAAAGACAAGAAAUAUGCCGGAUUCCGCAGGAGCAGGGAGAAAAGAGUGCUGUGAAAAUCAGCGACACCAAGUUUGAAUAUAUGAAAGCAUCCAGACAAAUGUGAAGCCAGCCUGAUUAGGACGAGUGAAAGGACAUUUCCCCAGAAUCGUAGUUUUUUUUUUUUUUUUAAAUAGGGGACGCUAUUGUCAUUCAGAAAGCCCCAGGCUGUUCUGAAAACAGGCAAAAAUCAAUAGCC